AGUGAACGCUGGCGGUAGGCCUAACACAUGCAAGUCGAACGGCAGCACAGUAAGAGCUUGCUCUUACGGGUGGCGAGUGGCGGACAGGUGAGGAAUACAUCGGAAUCUACUUUUUCGUGGGGGAUAACGUAGGGAAACUUACGCUAAUACCGCAUACGACCUACGGGUGAAAGCAGGGGAUCUUCGGACCUUGCGCGAUUGAAUGAGCCGAUGUCGGAUUAGCUAGUUGGCGGGGUAAAGGCCCACCAAGGCGAUGAUCCGUAGCUGGUCUGAGAGGAUGAUCAGCCACACUGGAACUGAGACACGGUCCAGACUCCUACGGGAGGCAGCAGUGGGGAAUAUUGGACAAUGGGCGCAAGCCUGAUCCAGCCAUACCGCGUGGGUGAAGAAGGCCUUCGGGUUGUAAAGCCCUUUUGUUGGGAAAGAAAAGCAGCAGGUUAAUACCCCGCUGUUCUGACGGUACCCAAAGAAUAAGCACCGGCUAACUUCGUG
rnacentral:rRNA from 1 species